rnacentral:lncRNA from 15 species
CAGUGACCACCCCCUGUGUGCCGCCCUGCAAACACGGGGCCACCUGCAGUCCUCACAACACUUGCACCUGUCCGGAGGGGACUGCAGGCCUGCGCUGUGAGAGACUGUAAGUGUAAACACCAGCAGCAGCAUUAUGUUAUUAUGGUUACUUAUAUAUUCUCAUGGAUGUUCCGUUUGUGUUUGUGUGUGUCCUAGGACGUGCCCUGUGGUCACCACGGUGGUCAGUAUGGCUCGAGCCGUAAGAAAGGCAUUUAGGGAGAGUUAUGUUGACCGCUGUGGACCCCUGGGAGUUCAGCUUUGCACUAAAUACAGGAUGAACCAGGCACGUGUGUACCUGCAGGCCUACAGGGUCGGCUACAAAAUCCAGUGUCCAGAGAGGAAGGGGCGAUGAACGAUGUUGUGCAUGCAUGCUCCUUAUCAUUCGGAAACACCACCCAACAGAAAACACACACAAGAAGUGAAAUGAGACAAGCUGUAAAAUUAAAUGUAACUGAGUAAGUGAGAAGGUGUUGCAGUUUCCUUAAAUGAAGACUCUCUGUUGAAAUAAAAAAGGGGUGACUGUAUCAUAAAGGCUGUUUAUUUUCGGACAUAUGUUGAGACUUCUCUUUAAAUAGAAAUAUUCCUUUCUAUGUGAAAUGUGCAAUGGUUUCAUUAUUUGUCGUGUGUGUAUGGCAGCUGAAAGUUAUUAAAUGUUAAUUUUCUUGUCUUUUUACAAAAUUGUGUCAAUAUUGUGAACAUUUUUUUACAGUCUCUUGUCAGUGUACGGUCCUACUCAAAGAGUUCACUUCAAGGAAUCGUCCCAAUAAAGAAAAACUGUCUCACAAACUCACACAAACUUUUAGAGAAAGAUUAUUUGGGUUUUGAACUAGAAUUACUGUGUGAAUGACCAGACAGGACCACCUCUAACAAAGAUUAUGUAAUAAUCUAACAGCAAAACUGAACUGCUGAAUCAGAACUGCUUCAGCUUAUUAGUAACAUAAUAGUGACUGUAUAUCUUAUUCUUAUCGCCGUACAAUACUGACAUCUGCCCUCUUUUCUAGGUUUUUUUCAUGACCUUGUUUAAAUGGCAUUCCUGUUAAACUUUAAUGAG